CCUACGGGAGGCAGCAGUGGGGAAUAUUGGGCAAUGGGCGCAAGCCUGACCCAGCAACGCCGCGUGAAGGAAGAAGGCUUUCGGGUUGUAAACUUCUUUUGUCAGGGACGAAGCACGUGACGGUACCUGACGAAUAAGCCACGGCUAACUACGUGCCAGCAGCCGCGGUACUACGUAGGUGGCAAGCGUUAUCCGGAUUUACUGGGUGUAAAGUGCGUGUAGGCGGGGAAGCAAGUCAGAUGUGAAAACCACGGGCUCAACCUGUGGCCUGCAUUUGAAACUGUUUUUCUUGAGGGCUGGAGAGGCAAUCGGAAUUCCGUGUGUAGCGGUGAAAUGCGUAGAUAUACGGAGGAACACCAGUGGCGAAGGCGGAUUGCUGGACAGUAACUGACGCUGAGGCGCGAAAGCGUGGGGAGCAAACAGGAUUAGAUACCCCUGUAGUC
rnacentral:rRNA from 1 species